GACGAACGCUGGCGACGCGCUUAACACAUGCAAGUCGAACGGAAAGGCCUGCUUUCCCUUGUGGAUUGCGGGUACUCGAGUGGCGAACGGGUGAGUAACACGUGAGUGAUCUGCCCCCAACUUGGGUAUAAGCCUGGGAAACUGGGUCUAAUUCCCGAUAGGACUGCAGGGUGGUGCCUGUGGUGGAAAACGAUUUUCUAGUGGUUGGGGAUGAGCUCGCGGCCUAUCAGCUUGUUGGUGGGGCAAUGGCCUACCAAGGCGGCGACGGGUAGCCGGCCUGAGAGGGUGGACGGCCACAUUGGGACUGAGAUACGGCCCAGACUCCUACGGGAGGCAGCAGUGGGGAAGAUUGCACAAUGGGCGGAGGCCUGAUGCAGCGACGCCGCGUGGGGGAUGACGGCCUUCGGGUUGUAAACUCCUUUCGACCGCGAGGAAGCCACCUGGUUGGAAGGGUGGUGACGGUAGUGGUAGAAGAAGCACCGGCUAACUACGUG
rnacentral:rRNA from 1 species